rnacentral:rRNA from 1 species
AGAGUUUGAUCCUGGCUCAGAUUGAACGCUGGCGGCAGGCCUAACACAUGCAAGUCGAACGGUAACAGGAAGCAGCUUGCUGCUUCGCUGACGAGUGGCGGACGGGUGAGUAAUGUCUGGGAAACUGCCUGAUGGAGGGGGAUAACUACUGGAAACGGUAGCUAAUACCGCAUAACGUCGCAAGACCAAAGAGGGGGACCUUCGGGCCUCUUGCCAUCGGAUGUGCCCAGAUGGGAUUAGCUAGUAGGUGGGGUAACGGCUCACCUAGGCGACGAUCCCUAGCUGGUCUGAGAGGAUGACCAGCCACACUGGAACUGAGACACGGUCCAGACUCCUACGGGAGGCAGCAGUGGGGAAUAUUGCACAAUGGGCGCAAGCCUGAUGCAGCCAUGCCGCGUGUAUGAAGAAGGCCUUCGGGUUGUAAAGUACUUUCAGCGGGGAGGAAGGGAGUAAAGUUAAUACCUUUGCUCAUUGACGUUACCCGCAGAAGA